rnacentral:rRNA from 1 species
CGAUGACUGAUUAGCCGGUUGGUGAGGUAACGGCUCACCAGAGCAACGAUCAGUAGCUGGUGUGAGAGGACGACCAGCCACACUGGGACUGAGACACGGCCCAGACUCCUACGGGAGGCAGCAGUGGGGAAUUUUGGACAAUGGGCGCAAGCCUGAUCCAGCUAUUCCGCGUGUGGGAUGACGGCCCUCGGGUUGUAAACCACUUUAGUAGAGAACGAAAAGGAGCUAUCGAAUAAAUAGCUCUGCUGACGGUACUCUAAGAAUAAGCACCGGCUGACUACGUGCCAGCAGCCGCGGUAAUACGUAGGGUGCGAGCGUUAAUCGGAAUUACUGGGCGUAAAGGGUGUGCAGGCGGCUGAGUAAGACAGAUGUGAAAUCCCCGGGCUUAACCUGGGAACCGCAUAUGUGACUGCUUGGCUAGAGUGCGUCAGAGGGAGGUGGACUUCCACGUGUAGCAGUGAAAUGCGUAGAUAUGUGGAAGAACACCGAUGGCGAAGGCAGCCUCCUGG